rnacentral:tRNA from 1 species
CAAAGUGUAGCUUAACACAGAUAAAGCGCUUCUCUUACACAGAAGAUAUAUCAGUGCAAACCCGAUCGCUUUGA